rnacentral:rRNA from 1 species
GACGAACGCUGGCGGCGUGCCUAAUACAUGCAAGUCGAACGCAGUGGGGACGGGUGAGUAACACGUGGGUAACCUACCAUCAGAGGGGAUAACACUUGGAAACAGGUGCUAAACCGAUACUGAUGGAUGGACCCGCGGUGCAUUCGCUAGUGGGUGAGGUAACGGCUCACCAAGGCCACGAGGCAUAGCCCACCUGAGAGGGUGAGCAGCCAGCCUGGCACGCAGACACGGCCCAGACCCCUAAGGGAGGCAGCAGUAGGGAAGCUUCGGAAAUGGACGAAAGUCUGAUCGAGCAACGCAGCGUGAGUGAAGAAGGUUUCCGGAUCGUAAAACUCUGUUGUUAGACAAGCGGUAUCUAACCAGAAAGCCACGGCUAACUACGUGCCAGCAGCCGCGGUAAUUC